rnacentral:tRNA from 1 species
GGACCUGUAGCUCAGCCUGGCAGAGCACUGGGCUUUUAACCCAGGUGUCAGGGGUUCAAAUCCCCUCGGGUUCA